UGGGAACGAGAAGCCACUCGUGGAGGCGUC
rnacentral:piRNA from 1 species